CAUAUAGGUGGCUGUGGUUACAGUUGCUUUUCUAGCAACUCCUCAACUAUUAGCCAGAGAACGAAUAUGCAUUUUUGCUGCUCACACAAGGGAAGACCUUCUCAAAGCAUUGGAGGUUAUCAGCAUAGUUGGUGAUAUGGCAUAAAAUACUUUCCUGCUCACUCCUAUAAACAACACUUGGAAGAAAACAGAGUUAAGCUGGACUGAAUUAUUAUAUGUGAGUGUAGUUUCCCAAUGUUGUAUGUUUUGCUUCAAUUGGGUAUUGAAAUCUAAAAGGAGUCCAAAAAUUGUGUCUAGUGUGAAUGCUUACUGUAAGAUGUACAUAUAUUGUCAUUAAAAGAAAUGCUGAUUGUCAAAAUCUAAAGCUCAUGCAUGUGUUGCCUUUU